AUUGAACGCUGGCGGCAGACCUAACACAUGCAAGUCGAGCGAGCGGCGGACGGGUGAGUAAUGUAUGGGGACUGCCCGAUAGAGGGGGAUAAAUACUGGAAACGGUGUCUAAUACCGCAUACUAUCGGAUCACCCAUAUGGGUUGAGCUAGUAGGUGGGGUAAUGGCUCACCUAGGCGACGAUCCCUAGCUGGUCUGAGAGGAUGAUCAGCCAUACUGGGACGGGGACACGGCCCAGACUCCUACGGAGGCAGCAGUGGGGAAUAUUGCACAAUGGGCGCAAGCCUGAUGCAGCCAUGCCGCGUGUAUGAAGAAGGCCUUAGGGUGGUAAAGUACUUUCAGCGGGGAGGCGUUACCGGCAGAAGAAGCACCGGCUAACUCCGUGCCAGCAGCCGCGGUAAUAC
rnacentral:rRNA from 1 species